GAGAUGUAAGGCAGAGAUUGAAUGGGCGGAAGGCGAGCACGUCUUCCAUUGUGUGGCUUUCACGGCAGGAACGGGGUGAGGGAUCUCCUCUUCCACAGCCCAAGCUCUGCUUUGGGUUAUGAGCUUCACAUUUUCCAUUUUAUUUUAUUUAAAUUAAAAAUGCAUCAGCUCUCUCGCUUCAUUUCCAGACCCGUUCAAAGGGAGGAGGAAUAUUUCUCUCUCUGCCGUAACUCUCCCCUCCCCACCCCAGGAAGAAGCAGCGAGUGCUUUAAGGGCUAUAGGACCCUAUUAUCCACAUCGAGUUGAAGUUCCUCCUCCUGAAGGAGGUGGGUCUGGAGAUGAGCUGCCCCUAAAUCAAUGGAGAAGCGCAGGCAUGGAGCUGGAGUCACGGAGCGCUACAAAAAGUCCAGUGUUCUUAAGGAACAAGAAACCCCCCAAGCUUAACCCAGCAAAAAGCAAGGUUACUGAGUGUCUGCUGAAACCUCAAGGAGGAGAGCCUGGCCCCAGCUGGAGAAGCAGCAGGGAGUAGCUCUGUGCUCCUACAGCCAAUGGAUCAGAAAUCUUUUCCAAGGGCUUGGCUUCCUUGGGGCCCUGGUGGUGACAGAGCCUGGCUGCUGAUUAACCCGUGUGGUGACAAGGGGCACGCGUCCCCUGCAACAAGAAUCACGUAUCCUUUCUGUGUUGUGACAAACAAAACAAGGGGAGAAAUGCCUUGCAAAAGGCAGUCUGGCUGUGGGAGGAAAUGCCCACCCCAGGCAAUAAAAAAUAUUUCAGUGUACUAAGAUUUUUCCCUGUUUUUCCCAGAGGUGCAUGCGGGAAUGGAGGGGAUUAGAGCUACAAUAAUCUUCUGUGAGUUUUACAUUUGUACAUGGUUAGAUUGAUCAGCUAAUAAUUUUAGUCUGCUAUUAUUAUUAUUAUUAUUUUUGCAAACACCUAGGAAAAGAUCUUGAGGUUUACUUGUGGCCUUUCCAAAAUGACCCUUAUGUACAUGAAACAAGCAGUAACACCAAGCAGUGAAUUAAGUGUGAAGUAGCACUUAAAUAUUGCAGGUAGUGCUUGUGAAUAUGAACCCUUUUGGGGAUCCCCACUUUUUCUGUGGGCAAAGGUUUUUCUCCUUGCAAAAUGCAAGUUAACAAUUCACUGUUCUGAGUAUGAAAAUCAGGAAGCUUUUUGUUCACUUCAUACAUCUCUUCCAACAAAGCCAGACAUCCGAACCCGGCACAGACUCCAGAGUGAUUAUUGUUACACAUGAUCUAUGGAGCAGAUAAAUUACAACUUGAUUUUUAUAAGGAAAUCUGAAAAACAGCACACUCGGAACCAGGGCAGAGCGUGCAUUUUCCCACUUUGCUGAAUUCCUGGAGGGAGAGAUGCAAAACCCAGCUGGAUGUGAGGGAACCAUCAGCAGGAGCUCCUGAGCCAAAAUAGGAGCUGAGGCCCCAGAAAGUGGUGGGGUAGAGCUGUGAAUCCUAGCAACAGGCGGGGAAAGAACUGUACGUUUCCUCACGUCCUCCAAGUGUUGGUGCCUUCUGGUACAUCAUUGACAGGAAGAGACACAGACCAUGGAAAGGCCCUCCUUGCUGAUGCAUCAAGAAAGGGCACAUUUUUUCCAGUGGGAUGGUCUGUUGCACAGGAGCUGCCGGCCAUGCUGUUCCAGUUCAGGGGCUCCUGCUACAGAAAAGAUCAGCUGUUGGAGAACCCAUGGAAAGCCCUGGGGGAGAGCCAUGGCCGCAAGGGACAUCUGUGUCACACGGGAUGGAGGCCAGAGCCUCGCAGGAAGCGUAAGAAGGGAGCAAGGCAGGGAAAGGUUCCUCUUCUGGGGCUGGAAAAGGCACAGUGGCUUAACAGCUGGUAUCAAUACAUUAAACAACCACGCUGGAAAAGUGAAAUUGAUUCAAGGCCUUCAGUGCUCCCUGCCAAAAAAGCCUCCUGCAAGGAUCUAUUCUGUAUUGAAUUACAGUCUGGAAAAGUUCAAUAGGUUAUUGUACAAACAGAGAGCAAAAGCCCGUCAACAAUGGAGCCAAAGUGAUUGUGCAGCUCCUUUGUGCUUGCCAGCCCCGCGCCCCUCACGAGCUUGGAUGUUAAAUCAGUUUAAUUAAAAUGGUGGGCUUCAAAUGCCUCGCAUUUUUUUAAUGCAUGUCCCUGUGUAAAGACAUGUAGGCUGAGG